UGAACACCGGUUCACGUAGAAACACCGAAGUUAAGCAACAUCGAACCAGGUCAGUACUUACAUAGUUGACUUCUUGGGAAUACCAGGUGCUAU